rnacentral:tRNA from 1 species
UCCUCGAUGGUCUAGUGGCUAUGAGUGAGUUUCACCACAAUUUCCGACUUAUACGCGGGAGACCUGGGUUCGAUUCCCAGUCGGGGAG